rnacentral:rRNA from 1 species
CGGUGAAGGGGAGCUUGCUUCCUGGAUCAGUGGCGAACGGGUGAGUAACACGUGAGCAACCUGCCCUGGACUCUGGGAUAACAGUUGGAAACAGCUGCUAAUACCGGAUAUGAGCUGCGAUCGCAUGGUCGUGGUUGGAAAGAAUUUCGGUCUGGGAUGGGCUCGCGGCCUAUCAGCUUGUUGGUGAGGUAAUGGCUCACCAAGGCGUCGACGGGUAGCCGGCCUGAGAGGGUGACCGGCCACACUGGGACUGAGACACGGCCCAGACUCCUACGGGAGGCAGCAGUGGGGAAUAUUGCACAAUGGGCGGAAGCCUGAUGCAGCAACGCCGCGUGAGGGAUGACGGCCUUCGGGUUGUAAACCUCUUUUAGCAGGGAAGAAGCGAAAGUGACGGUACCUGCAGAAAAAGCGCCGGCUAACUACGUGCCAGCAGCCGCGGUAAUACGUAGGGCGCAAGCGUUAUCCGGAAUUAUUGGGCGUAAAGAGCUCGUAGGCGGUUUGUCGCGUCUGCUGUGAAAUCCCGAGGCUCAACCUCGGGCCUGCAGUGGGUACGGGCAGACUAGAGUGCGGUAGGGGAGAUUGGAACUCCUGGUGUAGCGGUGGAAUGCGCAGAUAUCAGGAAGAACACCGAUGGCGAAGGCAGAUCUCUGGGCCGUAACUGACGCUGAGGAGCGAAAGGGUGGGGAGCAAACAGGCUUAGAUACCCUGGUAGUCCACCCCGUAAACGUUGGGAACUAGUUGUGGGGUCCAUUCCACGGAUUCCGUGACGCAGCUAACGCAUUAAGUUCCCCGCCUGGGGAGUAC